GGGCCCGCACAAGCGGUGGAGCAUGUGGUUUAAUUCGAUGCAACGCGAAAAACCUUACCUACUCUUGACAUACUUGGGAGCUCUUGUAAUGAGAGUGUGCCUUUUGGAACCAAGAUACAGGUGCUGCAUGGCUGUCGUCAGCUCGUGUCGUGAGAUGUUCCGUUAAGUCGGAUAACGAGCGCAACCCUCGUCCUAUGUUGCCAGCACGUAAUGGUGGGAACUCAUGGGAUACUGCCGGGGUCAACUCGGAGGAAGGUGGGGAUGACGUCAAAUCAUCAUGCCCCUUAUGUCUUGGGCUUCACGCAUGCUACAAUGGCCGGUACAGAGGGCUGCAAUACCGCAAGGUGGAGCGAAUCCCAAAAAGCCGGUCUCAGUUCGGAUUGAGGUCUGCAACUCGACCUCAUG
rnacentral:rRNA from 1 species